GUAGAGAUAAGAGGGGUUUGGGAGGGAAAAGUGUGAAGGAAUGCCAGUGGUCAGCUAAAGGCAGGUUACCUGGUGUGUUAGAUGUCAGGCAGGUUGUAAUGU